rfam:Microgenomates (Beckwithbacteria) bacterium GW2011_GWB1_47_15 TX85_C0005, whole genome shotgun sequence.
AUCUUUGAGAAUUUGAUCCUGGUUCAGGACGAAUGCUAGCGGCGUGCCUGAGGCAUGCAAGUCGAACGGCCCGCGGAGCCCGCAAGGGCGAAGUGGGCAGUGGCGAACGGCUGAGUAACACGUAGGUAUCUUCCCUCAUCACGGGAAUAACUUGGGGAAACCCUUGCUAAUGCCCGAUAGUGUGGAGGUUAAAAUCUUCACUAAAGCUUCCCCGCGAAACUCGCAAGAGCGAAGCGGGGUUACGGAUGUGGAUGAGCCUGCGGCCUAUCAGCUUGUUGGUGGGGUAAUGGCCUACCAAGGCUGUGACGGGUACCGGGCCUGAGAGGGCGAACCGGCAGAGGGGCACUGAGACACGGGCCUCACUCCUACGGGAGGCAGCAGCUAGGAAUAUUGCGCAAUGGACGAAAGUCUGACGCAGCGACGCCGCGUGAAGGAUGACGGCCUUCGGGUUGUAAACUUCUGAAAAUAGCACCUGCUAACUACGUGCCAGCAGCAGCGGUCAUACGUAGGGUGCAAGCAUUGUCCGGAUUUAUUGGGCGUAAAGAGUUCUGUAGGCGGACUGGUAAGUUGGGGGUUAAAUCCUUGGGCUCAACCCAAGGGCUGCUUUCAAAACUGCCGGCCUGGAGGAAGUUAGGGGUCAGCGGAACUCAUGGUGGAGCAGUGAAAUGCGUUGAUAUCAUGGGGAACACCAAGGGGGUAGCCAGCUGACUAGGACUUUCCUGACGCUGAGAGACGAAAGCGUGGGGAGUGAAACAGAUUAGAUACCUGUGUAAUCCACGCUGUAAACUAUGCCUGCUAGAUACUUGUCCCGCCGAAGGCGCGAGAGAUUUUUCUCGCCUUGGGCGGGGUGGGUGUCGAAGCUAACGCGUUAAGCAGGCCGCCUGGGUAGUACGGCCGCAAGGCUAAAACUCAAAGGAAUUGGCGGGGUCCCGCACAAGCGGUGGAGCAUGCUCUUUAAUUCGUCGCUAACCGAAGAACCUUACCUGGGCUUGACAUGCAGCUGCAAAUCCGGCGAAAGCCGGACCUCUUAGAGAGUGCUGCACAGGUAUUGCAUGGCUGUCGUCAGUUCGUACCGUGAGGCGUACCCUUAAGUGGGUCAACGAACGCAACCCCUACUGUUAGUUGUAUCACUCUAGCGGAACUGCCGUCGUAAGACGGAGGAAGGUGGGGAUGACUUCAAGUCAGUAUUGUCCUUAUGUCCAGGGCCAGAAGCAUGCUACAAUGGCGCGCACAAUAGGUUGCGAUGUCGCAAGGCAAAGCCAAUCCUAAAAGCGCGUCUCAGUUCGGAUUGGGGGCUGCAAUUCGCCCCCAUGAAGCUGGAAUCGCUAGUAAUCGCCGGUCAGCUAUACGGCGGUGAAUACGUUCUCGGGACUUGCACACACCGCCCGUGACGUCAGCAAAGCUGAAGCUAUCUGAAGUCUUCCACUUGUGGGGGCCCAUGGUAGAGUCAGUGAUGAGGAUGAACUCGUAACAAGGUAGCCGUAGGGGAAUCUGCGGCUGGAUCACCUCCUUU